GAUGAACGCUGGCGGCGUGCCUAAUACAUGCAAGUCGAGCGAAUGGAUUGAGAGCUUGCUCUUAUGAAGUUAGCGGCGGACGGGUGAGUAACACGUGGGUAACCUGCCCAUAAGACUGGGAUAACUACGGGAAACCGGGGCUAAUACCGGAUAACAUUUUGAACCGCAUGGUUCGAAAUUGAAAGGCGGCUUAGGCUGUCACUUAUGGAUGGACCCGCGUCGCAUUAGCUAGUUGGUGAGGUAACGGCUCACCAAGGCAACGAUGCGUAGCCGACCUGAGAGGGUGAUCGGCCACACUGGGACUGAGACACGGCCCAGACUCCUACGGGAGGCAGCAGUAGGGAAUCUUCCGCAAUGGACGAAAGUCUGACGGAGCAACGCCGCGUGAGUGAUGAAGGCUUUCGGGUCGUAAAACUCUGUUGUUAGGGAAGAACAAGUGCUAGUUGAAUAAGCUGGCACCUUGACGGUACCUAACCAGAAAGCCACGGCUAACUACGUGCCAGCCGCCGCCGUAA
rnacentral:rRNA from 1 species